GACGAACGCUGGCGGCGUGCUUAACACAUGCAAGUCGAACGGAAAGGCCCUGCUUUUGUGGGGUGCUCGAGUGGCGAACGGGUGAGUAACACGUGAGUAACCUGCCCUUGACUUUGGGAUACUUCAGGAAACUGGGGCUAAUACCGGAUAGGAGCUCCUGCUGCAUGGUGGGGGUUGGAAAGUUUCGGCGGUUGGGGAUGGACUCGCGGCUUAUCAGCUUGUUGGUGGGGUAGUGGCUUACCAAGGCUUUGACGGGUAGCCGGCCUGAGAGGGUGACCGGCCACAUUGGGACUGAGAUACGGCCCAGACUCCUACGGGAGGCAGCAGUGGGGAUUAUUGCACAAUGGGCGGAAGCCUGAUGCAGCAACGCCGCGUGCGGGAUGACGGCCUUCGGGUUGUAAACCGCUUUCGCCUGUGACGAAGCGUGAGUGACGGUAAUGGGUAAAGAAGCACCGGCUAACUACGUG
rnacentral:rRNA from 1 species